AGUCGUAACAAGGUUUCCGUAGGUGAACCUGCGGAAGGAUCAUUAGUGAAAAUACCCUUUGCAUAUGGGUUGCUUCAACCUGUAUCCACCUUUGUGAAUUGUUUUUUUUUGUUACGUAGCCUUAAAGAGCAAUCCUUAGGGCUAUUAACAAGCUUGAAAUUUUUGUUUGGCUGAAACUUUUGGUUUACAAAACAAAUCAAAUACAACUUUCAACAACGGAUCUCUUGGCUCCU
rnacentral:misc_RNA from 1 species